UCCUUCCUAGAUUUUGAAAUU
rnacentral:piRNA from 1 species